CGGCCACAUUGGGACUGAGACACGGCCCAGACUCCUACGGGAGGCAGCAGUGGGGGAUAUUGCACAAUGGGGGAAACCCUGAUGCAGCGACGCCGCGUGGAGGAAGAAGGUUUUCGGAUUGUAAACUCCUGUCGUUAGGGACGAAUCAUGACGGUACCUAACAAGAAAGCACCGGCUAACUACGUGCCAGCAGCCGCGGUAAAACGUAGGGUGCAAGCGUUGUCCGGAAUUACUGGGUGUAAAGGGAGCGCAGGCGGACCGGCAAGUUGGAAGUGAAAUCUAUGGGCUCAACCCAUAAAUUGCUUUCAAAACUGCUGGCCUUGAGUAGUGCAGAGGUAGGUGGAAUUCCCGGUGUAGCGGUGGAAUGCGUAGAUAUCGGGAGGAACACCAGUGGCGAAGGCGACCUACUGGGCACCAACUGACGCUGAGGCUCGAAAGCAUGGGUAGCAAACAGGAUUAGAUACCCUGGUAGUCCAUGCCGUAAACGAUGAUUACUAGGUGUUGGAGGAUUGACCCCUUCAGUGCCGCAGUUAACACAAUAAGUAAUCCACCUGGGGAGUACGACCGCAAGGUUGAAACUCAAAGGAAUUGACGGGGGCCCGCACAAGCAGUGGAGUAUGUGGUUUAAUUCGAAGCAACGCGAAGAACCUUACCAGGUCUUGACAUCCGAUGCAUAGCAUAGAGAUAUGUGAAGUCCUUCGGGACAUCGAGACAGGUGGUGCAUGGUUGUCGUCAGCUCGUGUCGUGAGAUGUUGGGUUAAGUCCCGCAACGAGCGCAACCCUUAUUGCCAGUUACUACGCAAGAGGACUCUGGCGAGACUGCCGUUGACAAAACGGAGGAAGGUGGGGAUGACGUCAAAUCAUCAUGCCCUUUAUGACCUGGGCUACACACGUACUACAAUGGCGUUUAACAAAGAGAAGCAAGACCGCGAGGUGGAGCAAAACUCAAAAACAACGUCUCAGUUCAGAUUGCAGGCUGCAACUCGCCUGCAUGAAGUCGGAAUUGCUAGUAAUCGCGGAUCAGCAUGCCGCGGUGAAUACGUUCCCGGGCCUUGUACACACCGCCCGUCACACCAUGAGAGCCGGGGGGACCCGAAGUCGGUAGUCUAACCGCAAGGAGGACGCCGCCGAAGGUAAAACUGGUGAUUGGGGUGAAGUCGUAACAAGGUAGCCGUA
rnacentral:rRNA from 1 species